GUCAAAAGCGAGGUAAACACAACGUCAAUACUUUUUGUUUACAAGCCUACCGACAGUUGUAGGUAGAAAACGCGGUUAGACAUAUAAAUAUGUUCACUAUUGCAAAAGAAUUCAGUAACAAUCCCACUGUGAAUCAACAUGGAUCUGAAAUCGUUAUUUAGUGGAGAAGUGCAUUUAAGAGCUAUAAUUCGGCUAUCGAUCCACUGAGCCGACCCAGCAAAGACAUCAACAAUGGAGGUUAACAUCUUCCAGCCCGAGCGCAUUCACGGAAAUCCUCGGGUUAAUUAAUAAUAAGUACCCAAUAGUAUGUUACAUUUCAAUGUGAAAUAAAGUAAAUUUCAUGAAAAUUUUAA